rnacentral:rRNA from 1 species
GCGCGGGGGCAACCCUGGCGGCGAGCGGCGAACGGGUGAGUAAUGCUUCGGAAUCUUCCUCGGUAGUGGGGAAUAACCUGGGGAAACUCAGGCUAAUACCGCAUACGAACUACGGUUGAAAGCAGGGCGAUCGCAAGACCUUGCGCUAUGAGAUGAGCCGAAGUCGGAUUAGCUAGUUGGUGGGGUAAAGGCCUACCAAGGUCGACGAUCCGUAGCUGGUCUGAGAGGACGACCAGCCACACUGGGACUGAGACACGGCCCAGACUCCUACGGGAGGCAGCAGUGGGGAAUAUUGGACAAUGGGCGCAAGCCUGAUCCAGCGACGCCGCGUGUGUGAAGAAGGCCUGCGGGUUGUAAAGCACUUUUAGUGGGGAUGAAAAGCCGAAGGCUAAUACCUUUCGGUCUUGACCUAACCCAAAGAAAAAGCACCGGCUAACUCUGUGCCAGCAGCCGCGGUAAUACAGAGGGUGCAAGCGUUAAUCGGAAUUACUGGGCGUAAAGCGUGCGUAUCGGUUAUCUAAGUCGGGUGUGAAAUCCCGGG